rnacentral:tRNA from 1 species
GCAAUAAUAGCUUAAAGUUAGAGCAUUGGUCUUGUAAGCCAAAGGUGAAUCUAUAUUCUUAUUGCU